rnacentral:rRNA from 1 species
GGAGGCAGCAGUAGGGAAUCUUCCGCAAUGGACGAAAGUCUGACGGAGCAACGCCGCGUGAGUGAUGAAGGUUUUCGGAUCGUAAAGCUCUGUUGUUAGGGAAGAACAAGUGCAAGAGUAACUGCUUGCACCUUGACGGUACCUAACCAGAAAGCCACGGCUAACUACGUGCCAGCAGCCGCGGUAAUACGCAGGUGGCAAGCGUUGUCCGGAAUUAUUGGGCGUAAAGGGGCUCGCAGGCGGGAUUCUUAAGUCUGAUGUUGAAAAGCCCCCGGGCUCAACCCGGGGGAGGGUCAUUGGGAAACUGGGAAACUUUGAGUGCAGGAAGAGGGAGAGUGGGAAUUCCACGUGUAGCGGUGAAAUGCGUAGAGAUGUGGAGGACACCAGUGCGAAGGCGACUCUCUGGUCUGUAACUGACGCUGAGGAGCGAAAGCGUGGGGAGCGAACAGGAUUAGAUACCCUGGUAGUCCACGCCGUAAACGAUGAGUGCUAAGUGUUAGGGGGUUUCCGCCCCUUAGUGCUGCAGCUAACGCAUUAAGCACUCCGCCUGGGGAGUACGGUCGCAAGACUGAAACUCAAAGGAAUUGACGGGGGCCCGCACAAGCAGUCGAGCAUGUGGUUUAAUUCGAAGCAACGCGAAGAACCUUACCAGGUCUUGACAUCCUCUGACAACCCUAGAGAUAGGGCUUUCCCUUCGGGGACAGAGUGACAGGUGGUGCAUGGUUGUCGUCAGCUCGUGUCGUGAGAUGUUGGGUUAAGUCCCGCAACGAGCGCAACCCUUGAUCUUAGUUGCCAGCAUUCAGUUGGGCACUCUAAGGUGACUGCCGGUGACAAACCGGAGGAAGGUGGGGAUGACGUCAAAUCAUCAUGCCCCUUAUGACCUGGGCUACACACGUGCUACAAUGGACAGAACAAAGGGCUGCGAGACCGCAAGGUUUAGCCAAUCCCACAAAUCUGUUCUCAGUUCGGAUCGCAGUCUGCAACUCGACUGCGUGAAGCUGGAAUCGCUAGUAAUCGCGGAUCAGCAUGCCGCGGUGAAUACGUUCCCGGGCCUUGUACACACCGCCCGUCACACCACGAGAGUUUGCAACACCCGAAGUCGGUGAGGU